rnacentral:rRNA from 1 species
UACGAAGGGUGCAAGCGUUAAUCGGAAUUACUGGGCGUAAAGGGUGCGUAGGCGGUUCGUUAAGUCUGUCGUGAAAUCCCCGGGCUCAACCUGGGAAUGGCGAUGGAUACUGGCGAGCUAGAGUGUGUCAGAGGAUGGUGGAAUUCCCGGUGUAGCGGUGAAAUGCGUAGAGAUCGGGAGGAACAUCAGUGGCGAAGGCGGCCAUCUGGGACAACACUGACGCUGAAGCACGCAAGCGUGGGGAGCAAACAGG